UACGUAGGGGGCAAGCGUUGUCCGGAUUCAUUGGGCGUAAAGAGCGUGUAGGCGGCCAGGUAGGUCGGUUGUGAAAACUGGAGGCUCAACCUUCAGAGGUCGACCGAAACCAUCUGGCUAGAGUCCGGGAGAGGAGAGUGGAAUUCCUGGUGUAGCGGUGAAAUGCGCAGAUAUCGGGAGGAACACCAAUGGCGAAGGCAGCUCGCUGGGACGUUACUGACGCUGAGACGCGAAAGCGUGGGGAGCAAACAGG
rnacentral:rRNA from 1 species